AAACGUAGGAGGCUAGCGUUAUCCGGAUUUAUUGGGCGUAAAGCGCGCGCAGGCGGUCCUUUAAGUCUGAUGUGAAAGCCCACGGCUCAACCGUGGAGGGUCAUUGGAAACUGGGGGACUUGAGUGCAGGAGAGGAGAGCGGAAUUCCACGUGUAGCGGUGAAAUGCGUAGAGAUGUGGAGGAACACCAGUGGCGAAGGCGGCUCUCUGGCCUGUAACUGACGCUGAGGCGCGAAAGCGUGGGGAGCAAACAGGAUUAGAUACCCUGGUAGUCCACGCCGUAAACGAUGAGUGCUAAGUGUUAGAGGGGUCACACCCUUUAGUGCUGCAGCUAACGCGAUAAGCACUCCGCCUGGGGAGUACGGCCGCAAGGCUGAA
rnacentral:rRNA from 1 species